AAUUUCUUUAUUUCCUUUAUGGCCUAGAUGAUGCCUGCUUAUUUAUUGAAACACAGAUCACAGGUCACUUCCUACUCCUUUGACUAAGUUUAUCUCCUCUGUGCUCUGUGGUGUGCUGCAUAUACAUCUGCUGUAGCACUUAGCAUCAAGAGCUGUUUGUAUGUUGGUCUCACCCACUAUCUUUGCAGGUUCCUCUGUGUUAGGAACUAUGUGUAUUUGUGUGUGUGUGUUUAAUCCCAGUGUCCAUUAUAUACCAUGACACAUAGUAGGCACUCAAAGACUAUUGAAACGAACUAAGCAAUCCUGGUACAUCUUUCUGUUGACUAUCAGAUACACUCCUCUCCCUUGGGCACGAUUGGGUAAACACUUCCAAAUUCAAUAUUCUCCAUUCUUCUGAACUUUGGGCAUACCACCUUCCUUCUGUGGACACAUUCUUUCUUCAGAUAUGUUAAUACUAUUGAUUAGGUUAUAGCUUUCUUUUAGAGCAAUCGCAUUCCAGUCAUGUCUCUCUAGACUCCAUCCUAGGUGCCUUAACUAGGUUUCUUCAAUCCCUCACUCAUUAGUUCACUUAUUUUAGUCAGGAAAGGCUGUAUGUUUAAAAGGCAGCCACUAGGUUGCCAAUAAAAUGGUGCCUUUGGUAUUAUUCAUUGUGUAAGCCCUUCAAAGUGUGAGCCCCGUGGAUGCUUUGGUGGGUGGGAUAUGUACUUGAGGUUAAAAGGCCCUCCAUGUCAGGGGAGGGCAGGAGUCCUGUAUGCUAGUCCAACCUCAAGCGAGGCCCUCUGAUUCUUGAGGACAGAGAGGUUAAGAGCUCUGGUAUUGGAGGGAGGUAACCCUGGUUUCAAAUCUCAAGUUAACAGCUUAGUGGACAAAUUCCUAACCAUGAAUCUCUUCAACUGUGAAGUGGGGGAAUAGUAGGACUGACCUUAUAGGGUUGUUUUGGUAAUUAAGGGCUAAUGUUGACUUCUUUGCAAUGGCAGAUGAUAAGCACGCAACAAAUGCUAUUCAGCCUCAUUAUUGUCAUCAUUGCUAUUAUCAUCACUAUCAUUUAACAAUGAGUGCUCUAGUCUAGCCUCAGCCUGACUACUCUUCACAUCCUCCUCACCUCCUCCCCUUGGGAUGUGAUUUGGUUGAUAAAGAUGGGAGCCUGAGGAAGACCUUGUGGACACCCCAUCUGCCAAUUGCCUUUUUCUGCUUCUUCUGUUAGGAGACGCUUUGGGUUUUUAGGGACUCUAUUUAUACAGGGAUUAUUUAGCAUUUUUAUUCUCUGAAGGUGCUGGCAUAGAUUCAGUCUGUAAUUCUAAGGGAAAGGCGUUUAGCUGUGCUUUUCUUUGUUUGUCGGAACAUUUCUGUAGAUAAGCACCCUGCACAGUAAAUAAACUGCAUUGUUAUUACAUUGCCUAGCAAUUUACCUGUAACAGACGGCUGUGCCUGCUAUAAUGACAUGAUAGCUAAUCCAUACCCCUGCAUGAUUUUAUCUUUUACUGGAGGAGGCUGGCAAGUUUAAAGGGGACGCCCUCAAGGAUCAGCUAGAGGAAACCAGUCCUGGUUUUAGUGAGUGAGGUUUUUUUUUUUUUUUUUUUUUUUACAGGAGGUGUACCAAAAGUCCCGUGUCCGGAUUUUGAAUGAGUGCUUCAUUUCAGGAUCAAUUACCUUAAGCUUCCCACAAACUGAAAGCUUCUGGAAGAAAAGAACUGGGUUUGGACUUCUCAGGAGCCUGUGCCCCCUCCUGGAAAGGGCACAGACUUAGAGUUCAACCUGGGUUCAACUCCUGGCUUUUAGCCAUUAACAGCCCUAUGACCUUGGGAUUGGAAAUACAGAGAAAGUGGAGCUGCAUCCUUACCUGGGAGUGUGUUCUUAAGCUUUCUGAGGACCACAAUAUUCACAUCAGAAACCAUGUAGAACAUCGAGGAGUCAAGAGGAAGAUCAUAAUUCAUAGGUGUUCAUAUCAAGCACACGUGAUUUUUAUAAGUGGAUAUGGAUAAUGAGACAAAGGAAAAAUCCCCAGCCCUUCUCUGAAGAUCAGGAAGAUUCUCAGGAAUGGUUGCCCCUUGGACUGGUGGAGGAGCAGGAAUUCUGGGAAGAGAACCGUUCCAGGAGCCUGGCCUGCCCUUGAGAUACAGUGAGUUUUCCUCUGGAGGUCUUGUCAUGUCUGGAAAUAUUGAAGCCAUCUUGCCAUCACCUUGAGAAGGAGUUGAAGCCUGAGGAUGGCAGAGCAGAAAGACGAUGCAAUGUUUGAUUUAAACAAAUACUUUGGUCGUCUCCUGAGAUCAUCUCACUCGUUGAGGCUCCAAGUCCCGAUAGAAGCAGACCCUUCCGGCUCAGUGAAGGAGGCAGUGAAAAUGGAGGUUUGAAGCUGCAUCCUGAGCAGCGUGGAAGGGGCUGCAUGGAGUGAUAGCAGAAGGAGAAAGGAAGCAAAGCACCAUGUGCCCGCUGCUCUUACUUAAGUGGAGGAAAAACAGUGCUGGAAGGUGUUGGGGUGGGGGGGCUUCAAAGCUUGAAGCUUUCAUCAUUUAUUUCUGAAUCCGGACAAUUGUCUCCUCUGUGCUUACCUAGAAUCUCUGUGAUCUUGGUUCUGAAUAGGUUAAUCUAUUUUUAAAGGGUAUCCAAAUGCUAUUAGGAUAAUUCUUGCAUUCCUUUGCUCUUUCUAUUUAAAAAUUAAAGUGCUCGCGGUAAUAGAUUUCUCUGCCAGUAUAGCCAAGAGGAUCACCUACAGAUGCUCUCUGAGUAGAAAAAACCCUCGAACUUGAGAUGCAAAUACCUGUGCUUAUAAUUUUCUCCGUUUAAAACCUCUUCUUAGUCUCUGUUUAAAUUCUAAUGAUUUAGGUGCAGAGUUCUUUUUUCUUAAUUGUAUUGCUGGACAUAUAUUAGGCAUAAUCUAUAAGAUUUUCAACAUGAUAUCAUACAUCCAGCAUUUUUAUUGUACUAAAUUUCAGGGCUAAUUUAAGUUUAAACUCUUUAUUUUAGAAAAUCAGUAACAGCAACUAAUUAGCACAUCUCAUUCUGGAUGUAUUUGCCAACCAAUUUCAGAGACUCAUUUGCCUGUUAAGAGAUUUUAUUGAACACCAGCACCACAGACUCUCCUUUUUUUCUAGUAAACAGCUCAUGCUUAUUAUCUUAUUACAGGAAUGCCACUGGUUAAAUCAGGCUCUGAAUAUAAAUAGCCAUAUUACUGCCAUCAGGCAUCAAUGUUUAUUUAGUGGCUGUGAGUCAUGCAUACCUCUUUGAUCGGCUUUGGAAUGAGCCGUUGCAGUUUUUGUUCAAAAAGGUUAUUUGCAAAGGCUACAGAAGUAUCAGUUAGAUUAAACAUGAAAUUAAUCAGUGUGGAAUUUUAUCAGCCAUUUCUGCCACCAAACACCAGGUGUCAAGAGCAUGUGCAAAUGAGGGCUGAACAUAAUGAAGCUGGGGGACAGCUUAGUAGGGAGGUCAGAAAAGAUUCCAAGAGGUCUACCAUGCUCGGGGAGGAGAA